rnacentral:lncRNA from 7 species
AUGGAUCUUUGCCUUUACUCAGUGCUCCCUACACUAUUUCCAGCCUCGGCACUCUUUCAGCAAAAUUAAGAGGAUAACAAGAGCUUUGCUGCACGAGCUAUCAAAUGCUUCUCCCUAUCUGUGAAGUGCCACAAAGGCUGCUGCGAAGCGUCCUUUUUCCAGCCCAGGUUCUCAGAUCAGUGUGCCACCUACCUGAGAGAAGAUUCAUUCAUAGACAUCUUGUUGCAUGCUGCCACACUCUUACAGAGCAGUUCCUCUGUCUUUACAUGAUUGCUUGAAGACAAAAUAAGGUGACACUGCAAAUGGUAAAUAGCAAAGGCUGUUGACUGACGUGCAGCGAUCACACAGGUAUUAUUCCCUGGUUUGAAGAAACCCUGCUCAAAUAUAUACUGAAAAAUGAGCAAAAGGUGGCAGGGCUGAGUGGACAUCUGGAAUAAUGAUAGACCACUGGGAAUUCAGUGGAGCUUCCCACCAGUCAGAGAUGAAAGACAGCAGCAAGACUUGCAGCUUCUCUCAGACAGAGGCAGCUUAUUCACAGAUUAGAAAGUCUUUUAAAUGAUCUGUCUCUGGGCUGUGCUUCUUGAACAUGAGUACCUGUGGACUGAGGCCCAGACGCAGAGGAAGAAAGAACAAGAAAUACAUAAACUACCAACAGCUAACCAACAGAGGGACGCUUGGUAACCACAGGAUAUAAUAACACCUGGGUGCAACAAUUCUUCCCUUUGAUAAUUCUAAACACUUCAUGGAAAAUUUCAAGUUCUGAUGGUGCUGGGCAUCCUGAAACAAAUCAUUUAGCCUUCUGCACUUUGUGUGGAGGAUGAGGUUGAAAUCUUCUAUUUCAGCCUUUUGCUCCAAGUAGCUGCAGUUUCAGUUUAAAUAUUGCAUUCCAGUUUCCUGGAAUCAUCCCAACAAAAGCUUCCUGAAUAUCCAUUUUGUGAUUUAAAAUAAUUCAGGUUUUCACUUUGGUGUU